rnacentral:rRNA from 1 species
UACGAGGGGGGGCAAGCGUUGUUCGGAAUUAUUGGGCGUAAAGGGCGCGUAGGCGGUUUGACAAGUCUGAUGUGAAAUCUAUGGGCUCAACCCAUAGCCUGCAUUAGAAACUGUCGGGCUUGAGUAUGGGAGAGGUGAGUGGAAUUUCCGGUGUAGCGGUGAAAUGCGUAGAUAUCGGAAGGAACACCUGUGGCGAAAGCGGCUCACUGGACCAUAACUGACGCUGAGGCGCGAAAGCGUGGGGAGCGAACAGG